rnacentral:tRNA from 1 species
CAAGACAUAACUUAUUAGUUAAAGUAUUUCAUUUACGCUGAAAAUUUUUCUGUGCAAUUCAGGAUGUUUUGA